rnacentral:rRNA from 1 species
UACGAAGGGGGCGAGCGUUGUCCGGAAUUAUUGGGCGUAAAGCGUCCGCAGGUGGCACCUCAAGUCUGCUGUCAAAGACCGGGGCUUAACCCCAGAAAGGCAGUGGAAACUGAAGCGCUAGAGUGCAGUAGGGGUAGAGGGAAUUCCCGGUGUAGCGGUGAAAUGCGUAGAGAUCGGGAAGAACAUCGGUGGCGAAAGCGCUCUGCUGGACUGCAACUGACACUCAGGGACGAAAGCUAGGGGAGCGAAUGGG